UACGUAGGGUGCGAGCGUUAAUCGGAAUUACUGGGCGUAAAGCGUGCGCAGGCGGUCUGUUAAGACCGAUGUGAAAUCCCCGGGCUUAACCUGGGAACUGCAUUGGUGACUGGCAGGCUUUGAGUCUGGCAGAGGGGGGUAGAAUUCCACGUGUAGCAGUGAAAUGCGUAGAGAUGUGGAGGAACACCGAUGGCGAAGGCAGCCCCCUGGGUCAAGAUUGGACGCUCA
rnacentral:rRNA from 1 species